rnacentral:rRNA from 1 species
UACGUAGGGGGCUAGCGUUGUCCGGAAUCAUUGGGCGUAAAGCGCGUGUAGGCGGCCCGGUAAGUCCGCUGUGAAAGUCGGGGGCUCAACCCUCGAAAGCCGGUGGAUACUGUCGGGCUCGAGUGCGGAAGAGGCGAGUGGAAUUCCUGGUGUAGCGGUGAAAUGCGCAGAUAUCAGGAGGAACACCGAUGGCGAAGGCAGGUCUCUGGGCCACUGACUGACGCUGAGAAGCGAAAGCAUGGGGAGCGAACAGG